UACAGAGGGUGCAAACGUUGCUCGGAAUCAUUGGGCGUAAAGCGCACGUAGGCGGUCGAAUAAGUCGGAUGUGAAAGCCCCGAGCUCAACUCGGGAAGUGCAUACGAAACUGUACGACUUGAAUAUGGAAGAGGGUCGCGGAAUUCCCGGUGUAGAGGUGAAAUUCGUAGAUAUUCGCAAGAACACCAGUGGCGAAGGCGGCUCACUGGCCCGGAACUGACGCUGAGACGCGAAAGCGUGGGGAGCAAACAGG
rnacentral:rRNA from 1 species